UGGUUUUCGGAAAAAGAAAAAUUCCGAAAUUAAAAGGGAAGCAGGUGUGAAUCCUGCACAACAGCCAUUACUGUAUUUGUGAUUAAGCGUUUGUAAUAUGUCAUUGGUAAAUUUUACCGAGAAGGCACAAUCGCAGCGAAAAAUAUAAGCAGCACAUAAGUCAGGAGACCUGCCUCUUUCC
rnacentral:ncRNA from 1 species